GAUGAACGCUGGCGGCGUGCCUAAUACAUGCAAGUCGAGCGAACAGACGAGGAGCUUUCUCCCCUAACGGUAGCGGCUGACGGGUGAGUAACACGUGCAUAACCAUCUUAUAAGACGGGGAUAACUUCGGGAAGCAGGAUCUAAUAACAGAGAAUAUAUUCUACCGCAGGGUGCAAGAGUUCAUGGCGGUUUUCGCGUAUGUUUGAGCUGAUGCCGUGCCGCAUUAGCUAGUUGGUAAGGUAACGGCUCACCAAGGCAACGAUGCGUAGCCGAUCUGAGAGGAUGAUCAGCCACACUGGAACUGAGACACGGUCCAGACUCCUACGGGAGGCAGCAGUGGGGAAUAUUGGACAAUGGGCGCAAGCCUGAUGGAGCCAUACCGCGUGGGUGAUGAAGGCCUUCGGGUUGUAAAGCUCUUUUAUUGGGGAAGAAAAGAAGUAGGUGAAUCCCCGGACGUUUUGACGGUACCUAAAGAGAAAGCACCGGCUAACUUCGUG
rnacentral:rRNA from 1 species